UGAUGAUAGAAAAAGACCUGGACGAAAGAGAGUUACUACAAAAGCAGAGGAUAAACAUAGCAUUGUCACCAGUAAGAGAGAUCGGCAAAAGACAGCACCACAAAUAAGGGAGGAAAUCAACAUGACAAGGUUGAAACCCAUAUCUCUGACAACUGUGAAAUGACGUUUGAGAAAGGCUGGUCUGAAGGGUUGUGUAUCUGCAAAAAAAACACUCCUUCAUCCAUAGAACAAGAAAAAGAGAUAUGAGUGGGCAAAAGCUCACAAAAAUUGGACUUAUGAUGACUAGAAACAAGUUUGCACUGUUUGGUUCAAAACGCAGAGUCUAUGUCCGCAGACAAACUGGUGAACGUCUGAAAGCAUCAUGUGUUACACCCACAAUUCAGCAUGGAGGUGGUUGUUCCAUAGUAUGGGGAUGUUUUGCAGGUGAUGGAGUAGGAGAUUUGUUUGAAGUAAAGGGUAUCAUGAAGAAGGAACAGUACCACUCCAUCCUCCAGCACCAUGCUGUUCCAUCUGGACUCAGACUUGUGGCUCAUAAGUUUGUUUUGCAGCAAGACAAUGACCCUAAGCACACCAAGCUCUGUCAGGGUUACUUAGACAAAAAAGAAGAGGAAGGUGUUCUUCAAAAGAUGGUUUGGCCCCCUCAGUCUCUAGACCUUUCUCCAAUUGAGCUUGUGCAAGAUGAAUUGGAUCGAUCAGUCAGAAAACGCGUCCCACUAAUCUCUUUUUAAUGAACUUAAGAAAGCUUGGAAUGCAAUCCCUGGAACAUACCUUGAAAAACUUGUGGAACGAAUGCCUGGUAUAUGCCAAGCUGUUGUUAAAGCCAGAGGAGGUUGUGAGGAUUUUGAGUUUAUGCAACAGUUGGGGUUCCUGUGUUCCUUGCCUAUAUGUGUGUUCUCUCUCUCUGCAGCACUGGAGGCACGGCAGGAGGCGGGGCUGGUCCGGACUGAUUGCACGCACCUGAUUCUCGUUGGUGUCAAUUACCUGGCUUUAAUUGCCAAGCUCCUCUGUCGGCUCUGUGCCGGAUGAUUACCCAGUCAUGCAACACGUGUCUUGCCACGCCGAGCUCCCUGUUCUCCCGCCCGUGUAUCCAGCCUACCUCUCAGCGUUUGUUUGUGAGUGCUUUUGUUACUUUCCUGAGAUUUUUUACCUUGAUCAAAGGUGAUUUUGUGUUCGUGUUUUUUCCCUUCAGUUGAGGAGAUUUUGGUGUACAAUUUCUGUUGCACUUUGUCUUUUUAUACUCCCUCAGUUGUUACUUGCCCCACGUGGCACUAUCGUUUGAACUUUGUUUUUCACCAGCGAUUUGCCUUGCUGCCGUGACUUUUUUCUAACUCUAGUUUUGUGUUUUUCAGUGGCAGUCCGAGCCAACCGUGCCUUUUCCCGGAAACAGCGAUUUUCUGUUGUUCACUUUGUUUUAUUGUUUAUUGGCAAUAAAUUUGGGCAUUUGCCUCUGCAUUUUUGGAUCCUGGCCUUUGUUCGAUUCUUAACAGGAGGUUACUUUAAAGAAAGCAAAGUCUAAGCAACAAUGACUCAAAUACAUAAUAAUUAUAAUCAAAAUGCCUUCUGAUAAGUUACUCUUUACACAAUAGUCAUGUUUAUUGUGUUGCAAAUUAUAUAGAUGAAACUAUGAUUUUUUUUUUUUUUUUUGACAAAUCUGAUCUUGCCUACAAACUUUUGGCUUGUAGUGUGUGUGUGUGUGUGUAUGUAUAUAUAUAUAUAUAUAUGUGUGUGUGUGUAUAUAUAUAUAAUUUACUUAGCAUCGAUUGACAAAGUUAUAUUUUAAUUGAGUCUUAUCAUGUAUGUGUUUCUUAUGCUUGAUGGUGUUUUGCAAGAAAAGAUACAUUGGUUUUCUAUCCCUCUCUAACUUUCAAAGAGUUUAUUAAUCCUCAGGUUAUAGAUUUUUAGGAAAACGACUGAUUAAAGUUUACUUUACAUUUAAUGUUAUGGUUUGAUGCAUCUGCUCAUAAGAAACAAUGAAGUAAAACUUGAUCGUAUGUGAUUUGAUGAAGGGCAUUAAUCAUAGUGAGUGAGUAAAUUAGAUCUAACUCGCUUUUUAAUAUCGCAAGUAAAAUUUAAUUUGCUUGCCAGCAGACGGGCCUGCGUUGUGAAAAAAGAGCGCAUGAGUGCCCCCCCAGUUUUGGCUCAUGCCCCACGUGAACGGCUUAAAAGCGCUGAGCUUGCGCUGCUCCCUCUCGUGUUUUUACCCUUUAUUGGUGUUUUUGUCUCCGUCCAUCGUCUUGAUGAAGCCAUACCCAAGUUUCCUUAAAGCAUUAGCUGCACGCAUAGAGUAGCAAAGUCUAGGACUUUAAUUGUGUUUAGUUCACUAAAGUGACUCCUGAAGACAUGGACUGGCCAGUGAAAUUAUUAUCUUAAGUUAUUGAUGCGAAUUAACCUGCAGUAAAGCUAACCCUGAACCGACCAGCAAGCUGCGUUUGCCACCCGGUUCUCAGAGGCAUGACAGCUAAUGUAUCCAAGGGCGCUGUUUGGAGUGCUUAGGGUGGGACAACAGAUCCAGUGCCAGCAAAGAACUCGCCGGGCCCAUGUACUCGAUUUGGUAGCCAGGAACUUCAACAGAUCCACUCCAAGAUUGCCUGCCGUGAACCGGCAUCAAAUAAGUAGGCAAACCCCUCGACACUGCUGUUUCAACUGGGUGAUGUGUAAAGCGUUCAGUAUCUUAUAUUCUUAAUUAUAGUUUAGUUUCUUCAAAUUCCUCUUCAAAAUAUAUCCUCGUAACCCUGUUAACGUAGGUUAAAUUUUUCAUUAUUCACUUACUGUCAUUAACCUCCAGUCUUACAUCAAUUCAAACCAUUUCUUUAUUUAUUGAUCAGGUGUUCUUUUAUUUUCUCAUUAUUUGAUCAUUUAUUUUAAGUUACCUGGGUGAGAAUUUUAUCACCUAGCAUUUGUCAAUAAAUUAUCCAUUUAAUCUUAAAUUGUUGUCUCUUAGUGGUCCUUCCAGAAGCGAAGUCCCUGAAAUGAGUCCCUGAAACUCUCAGAUGUGAGAUUGAUUUAAAUCUGUUUGAGACUAAUUUAACGUUUGGUUACUCAACUGAACUUUGUUUUGUCUUUUACCCAUCAGAAAAAGGUGGGUGGUGCCCCUUCAAUGAGUGUAUAAAUGUCAUAAUUUAAUUAUUAUUUUAGGACAUUUAUUUUAAAUUCAAAUUGCUACACCAGAAAAUGUGUGUGUGAUCUCCAAUUUGUCUGCUAGGCUCCAGCAGAGAUUUGUCUUUGUUUUGUCAAAUUUGGAGUUGAGAAAUGAAGCAGAUAUUCACUUUCCACAUCAAUUUUUUUUGUGGGGCUGCUGGUCAGUUUAUAAGGAGCCCCUAAGGGGUCAUGAAGGAAACAUUUCUCGAGAUUUUUUGCGUGAUCUUGCGAAACAUUUGCAAGCUCUCAUAUUGUUGUCAAAGGUUAUAGGUCAGUGUAUUUCUUCCAUGUCAAGUCCCAAGUGAUGGAACGCAUGCGCACCAGGAAGAAGUUCGCUGCAUCUUUCUUUGAGACUGGCCUUAACAAAAGAUAUUAAAUCAGUUCUGCAAUGCAGGCAGUGUUUUCUUAUUAAGUACGAGUCAUGAAGGACGAGAUCAAGAUGAUGGAGUGAGCAGUCAGAGAAGUUGCGGGACCGAUGAACAAAGUGAUUUUCAUGUCCAGAACACUGAAUCUUGAAGAGAAAGUUACCCGGGUGAGAAUUGAAGACUGGCCGAAUCCGAUAUCUAACUUUGAAAAACUUUGUGAUUGUAAAGACAAUUUAUUUGAGUCGGAAAAAAUGGCUAAUCCUCAGCUAGCUGCUAGUAUCAUGGACCAUGACUACAACUUGUUGGCGCUACAGGAGGCAUGUGGAGAGGAUGAUUUAGAGGAGAUGGAGUUGAUUAUGGGUAAAAAUAAAAAUGACCACACUCUGCUGAAGAGUCCCAAUCCCAAGAAAAUGAAAAAAAGAGAUGAAACAAGACACGUCAGCAUUGAAAAUGUCCUCGAUGCAAUUAGUGCGCUAUCAAAAUGAAUGGAUGAACGGCUGGAUGUACUUACAGACAAGUUUGAAAACUUUGAGAGGCAGAUGCAAGCAAAUGAAAAAGCAAUAAAAGAAAAUAAAGAUGAAAUGGAUAAACUGAAAGUGCAAGUACUGUCACUAAAAAAAGGAAAACAAAGAUCUGAUGGAGAAAUGCCUGAAGAAUUCUCGGUACAGGAAGCGUUGGGAUCUACGGCUUAUUGGUCUGCCAGAGAAAGAAAAUGAGAAUACUCGAGAAGUAGUGAUCGGCAUUCUUACAAGAGUGAUUCCUGUAUCAGUGGAUAAACUCUGAGACACCGUGGAUACUGUCCACAGACUGGGAAAAAAGAAUGAUGCAGCCACCAACAAGAUGCCACAUCCAGUCAUCAUCCAAUUCAGCAUGAGGACAACGUGGGAUGAGGUUUGGAGAAAGUCAAAGGAGGCCAGGGUCUGCAAGGAAAUGAACAUUAGAUUCAAGGAGGACUUUGCGAAAGAAGAUCGCGAGGCUCUGGCGAAGCUUUGGUCAGUAGUGGAGGAGGCACACCGCAAAGGACGAAGAGCCCUCUUAAAGGAGGGGUAUGCUGUCAUUGAUGGCAAAAGAGCUGAGCCAAAACCUUAAAAAUAGAUGCUGGUUAUAAUAUUAGCUGACAAAAUAUUGUUUGAUGCACUUUAAAUAACCCUCAGGGAUUUUCCCAUGUUAUAGGGCCUUAAGUGCACAGACAUUUUGAACUAUGGGGUUCUGUUAACAACAACAACAAUAAUAAUAAUAGAUAAAAAAAAGUGUUCUAGGACAACACGCUCAUUCCUGCUCAUCAUGAUAUUCAUCUUUUUGCGCAUUUAAGGCGUAUCAUUCUUUUAUUUAGUUAUGUCUUUUCUUUUGAAUUCACUAAAUGUUAGAGGUUUAAAAAAUAUAGUUAAACACAAGGCCAUAAUUUUAUUUUGAAAAGAAAGUAAAGCCAAUCUUAUUCUUUUACAAGAGACACGUUCCAACAAGGACUAUGAAACAUUUUGGAAGCAACGAUGGGGGGUAUUACUUUGUUUUCACAUGGUUCUUCUCACUCUGCAGGAGUGAUGAUUUUAUUUUACAAGUUCAAAGGGUCAAUAAUUGAUCAGAAAACUGAUGAAGAUGGUCACUGGGUCAUGGCAGCAAUAGAGUUAUAUGACCUUAAAUUUAUUUUAGUGAAUUUUUAUGUUUACAACAACAGAACUCUUAGGGCUCUAUUUUCAUGUAUGCCGGUGAGGAGGCGGAGGGUGGCGGACCCCACGCAGCUGUAUUUUUGUCUGGCGGAGCCUGGCGUACAGGCAGUUUGGUAUUUUCGUGGACUGAGGCGCACGGUGGCGAACCGAGAUCCGCCAAGCUGGGCGUGGUGGCGUGGCAGGGGGAGGUGUCGACAGAAUCAGUGGGCGCAGUGACAUUUUCAUGCUCGCCAGUGGCGUGUAAAGUGCGCUGAAUGCUUGCCAAUUCAAACCUGGUCAGCUUUCAGCACAGGCGGAGCGCGGCUGGUCUAGUGGUAUUUUGGUAGAUCGGCGGUGUAUCGGCAUAUGUCACCGAUGCCUCACCGGCAGGUUUCCACAGUGUCAGGCACAUUUCAGUGCAAUAAAUAAUCAUCAACAACUAAUAAUCUGAGUCAGCACAUACAUUUAGCUCUAUAUAGAUAUAUUCUGAUCUAUAUCUGAUCUGAUGAGCGUGUUUGGCACGCGUUUGGACACAAAAGCUGACCGAAUUAACACAGCUGAAACCGCAUUAAAUUAAAUUAAAUAUCUAGUAAAUAAACGCACAUGAUGAAGUUAACAAGAUAUUUAAUUUGUCUCCCUGUUUUUCUUUCUUCCUCUUCCUCUCAUUUCUCACGCAGCUCGACCUGGACAUGUCGAGCUUAUGAGUUAUUUACUUUAAGCCUACAUAAGAAUAUUAUAAUACUCAGUUUUGUGGGCAAAAUUUAUUUUAUAUGCCAACAUCUAUGAAAGAAAGAGCCAGGCCAUGGAGCGCGAUGCAUCAUUUACGCGUCCAAGACAAGAGGAGCACUGUGUGGUCCACCUGGUGUGUUUGACAAAGAAAAUGAAAGUAUGGCAAGACAGAGAAAUAAUGCAGCAGCCAAGACUUGCAGGAAAAUUGGAUGACUUCAUUUUAGCUGUAAUGAAUAUCAUCAAGUAAGGACAAAAAAUUGGCUGAGGAACAAGACAGGCUACCGUGGAUAAAACAACAACUGUUGCUCAGAUUUUGGAUAUAGGAAAGCAGCUUUUUUCCAAGAUGGACAUUCAACAAAAGGGCCAGUGGAGGACUUUAACUUUCAUGUCUGUGAUUUCAAAAGAAACCAGAUUCCUUUUGAUGACACAGUUGGCAAACUCUAUGAACGAACCAAACUGAAGCUGCUUAAAUUUUAUAUUUGCACAAAAGAAUCAUCUUCAUCAAAUCAGUCCUCAUCUGAAGUGGAUGGCUGCAGUGACGAUUCCUUGUCUGAAGAGUCAUCUGUCAGUUUUACUGAGAAGAGUCACAGUUAUGUAAACAUGGACCUCAAAGUGAUGCAGAUGUUUUGAUUACAGAUCUAUUGGAUGAUGGACAUUCAUCUGAUUCAGUUUUGGACAAUCCCAGAAAAUGUGUGUGUGAUCUUGUCUGCAAGGCUCCAGCAGAGAUUUGUCUUUGUUUUGUCAAAUUUGGAGAUGAUAAAUGAAUCUUUGAAAAAGCGGAUAUUCACUUUCCAUAUGAAAUUUUUCUAUGUGGGGCUGCUGGUCAGUUUAUGUCCAUUCUUACACGCUUGUUUCCAAAUUUCAUCUUCACUCACAACAUUCAUUUCUAAUUCCCACUUUUCCUUUAUUCCAAGAGAGCCCCCUGUUACAAUUGUCUGUAGUCAUUUAUAUAAAUGUGAUACAUUUUCUUUUUUUACCAUCCAUUUUCUUUAUGAUCUUGAUGAAGAAAAGUUCUAAAUCAGAAGGCUGUAAUGUAAGAGACUGCCAUUCUUUAUGUGAAGUCAGGUAGCUUCUCAACCUGUAGAAAUCUGUGGAUAUCGAACCAUUUUUUUCCUGUAAAUGGUUAAAUGACUUCAAGGUUUUACUAUCAAAUAAGUCAUCAAUAAAAAUAAGGCCCUUAUUUUCCCAGUCUGUAAAUCUUAAAUCAAAAUGUCUAGGUUUGAAAUCUAUUAUUUUGAAAAUUUUCAUUGCCCUAGAUAUAGACUAUGGUGCAUUUUUUUCCCUUACAGUUUUAAACUUUGUGUGUGCACUUUUCUUGUUUUUUGUCCGUAUCUCAUUUGAAUAGGAUGGAAAUACUUGGAGUGAGAUUCUGGGGCAUGAAUUUUGCUCUAAAGAUAGCCAUGUUGUUUCUUUAUUUUGUUUUAAGCAUUCUACUGCCUUGUGUAAUUAUGCGGCCCAGAAAUAUAGUUUCAUUUUUGGUACAAAAGCAGAAUUUUUAAAGCACAUCAUAAGCUGAUCUGGAGAUUUUCCUGCUGCCCCUACAGACUGCAUCAGGUUUGGUCCUGGUCUCUGCUGGCUGGAUCAAUGUUCUUGUUUUUCAGGGAUUGAAGACAGAUUCUGAAAACCAGACAUGCACAGUAACAAGUCAAUUUUCAGGUUGAAGAUGAAACUCCAGUCAUUUGUUGUAUUCUGGAUAAGCUAAGCUGAAGUUCUUGUAUCUUAUUUAGAAAACCUGCAGCAUAUGAGUUUAAAAGUGUAAAUAAUGUUUUCUAAAUUGAUAUAGACUGGCAGAAUGUGAACUUUAGAUUAGGCUGAAUUUGUGUGUUUUUUAAAAGCAGUUAUCCAAAAUAGUAAUCGUAAGUGUUGUCAAAUGUAUCUGUACUUUGACUCCAGUCAAAAGAAGUCACCUCCAUGUUCACAUCGUCUGCAUUUUCACCAGUGUUCACCACAAAGUUUCCCCUGGCCUUCCAUUUGCAGAGGACGAUCAGAAAAACAGCCAACAGCCCAAAAACCAGGAGCACACUGACGACCAGAGGCACGAGGUAAGAUGGCAGAGGGGCUUAGAAGAGAGAGACAAAUCACCUGAUCACAAUUUGAAAUAGAAAUAUGUAUUUUAUCUUGAAUUUCAACUACAGGAUGUGGAAUCUUGACCAACUUAGAAAUAAUGACUUACUUAUGAGCUGUACUGCACCUGUCACUUGGAAGGUGGACUCAAGAUCUCCUGGUGAGAGGGUGGAGCUUGAACUCUUAGUUGUUCUUGUUGUUGUUGGUGGUGGUGGUGUUGGUGGAGGACAUAGAUGUAGUUGUGUGGAGGCUAAUGAGAGAGAUGUCAGAGAGAGUCAGAGUCCAGAUCUUUCAAAGUCUAAAGUAAUAUUAACCAGCACCUGAUUUGGGUCUGAAGUCUGUGAAAGUGGUCUGGGUGGUAGAGCUUUCAGUUAGGAAUCAUCUACCAGUGGAGGUGAAGGGGGGGCAGACACCCUCUCUAGAGUUGUCUUUAAACUUUCUAUUUUGGUAAAGCUUCAAUCUGGUUCAUGCCUGGUUUAGACUGUCGGGGGUACUGGGUAUAUUGAGCACCUUUCCUUCCAUCUCCAUCCUCCUUCUGUCUGUCUGUCUCAUUAACUCUGAAUCAUCAAGUCCCUUUAGAGUCAGUAAUGCAGUCUGUUCUGGGAGUCCCUGAGCUCCAUCAUGCCAAAGGUUCUUCUGAACAGCUGCUGCAGACGUCCUGCUGUUGUGGACCUGGCUGCUUUCCAACUGCUUCAACUACAAGCAUCAGUUUCACCUCCGUCCAUCUCCCUCUCUCCCCUCUGUAAACCCAGCUCAGUCUCAACAGAUGGCUGUCUAACAUGAGUCUGGUUCUGUUUAAGGUUUCUGCCUGUUAAAGGAUAAACAUACCAGUCUUUGAGGAGCUAGUUCAGUGCCUUACUUUGCUGGAGGUCAAAGGUUAGUUUUUUUUUUUCUGCACAUGAAAAGAGUUAAAAUAUGUUUAAUUUAAAAAACAUGUAGAUUCUUUGUCCAAAAUAUGAUCAUUAAAUGUUUAAAAAACACCAUGUGCUCAAAGAUGGCAUACAGUUCAUCUAUUGUAGAGUUCACUCUUGAAGGAGUAAUAUUAAUAGAAGAGGUGUUAUCAAAUGAAGUGACAUAAAAACUCACCUUCUAUGACGAUCAGUGGGAAUGUAUAAUAUGAAUCUGGAGACAGAGCUUUGCCAAAACCACACCUGUACUUUCCUGUGUCAGACUUAGUGGCUUGUUUGAUGGUCAGGUAGAGUUGAUAGUUGGUAUACUCAAGGCCGUAUCUGCCGUUCUGAGUGUUGCUUGCUUCUGUUUCAAUCAGUAUGUCCUCGUCUGUCUUACAUUCACCCUUACAGAAGAACUUCCACUGUCCGUAGACAGAACCAGGGCAUAUACUGCGGAUAUCUUCUCCUUCAAACUCUGUGCGGAUUGCACCAGUAUAUCCUUCCAAUGGUGACUCUGGACAGACAGAUAAUGGUGACACGGUCAAAAGUUCUGCAGUUACAGCAGUUUAAUGAGAUUUUGACUUUGGAUUGUUUAAGCUUUGAGUUCUGCUCAUUGUCUGUCAAAUGAAACUGAUGGUGUAAGUAGGGUGAAACAAAAAUGUACAAUCUGCAGGGUUUACAUACAUACAUACACUACAGGCCGAAAGUUUGGAAGCAAGAUCAUAUUUGUACAAAAAAAGAUCAUAGUUCCAUAUAUAUAAUUUGCAAAACAGUAAACAUGACUUUUGUGUAAAGAGUAACUUAUCAGGAGACAUUUUGACUAUAAUUAUUAGGUAUUUGAGUUAUUGUUGCUUAGACUUUGCUUUCUUUAAAGUAACCUCCUCUGGCUUUAACAACAGCUUGGCAUAUACCAGGCAUUCGUUCCACAAGUUUUUCAAGGUAUGUUCCAGGGAUUGCAUUCCAAGCUUUCUUAAGUUCAUUAAAAAGAGAUUUGUGGUUUUCUGACUGAUCGUUCCAAUUCAUCCCGCACAAGCUCAAUUGGAGAAAGGUCUGGAGACUGAGGGGGCCAAACCAUCUUUUGAAGAACACCUUCCUCUUCUUUUUUGUCUUGGUAACCCUGACAGAGCUUGGCGUGCUUAGGGUCAUUGUCUUGCUGCAAAACGAACUUCUGAGCCACAAGUCUGAGUCCAGAUGGAGCAGCAUGGUGCUGGAAGAUGGAGUGGUACUGUUCCUUCUUCAUGAUACCCUUUACUUCAAACAAAUCUUCUACUCCAUCACCUGCAAAACAUCCCCAUACCAUGGAACUACCACCUCCUUGCUCAAUUGUGGGUGUAACACAUGGUGCUUUCAGACGUUCACCAGUUUGUCUGCGGACAUAGACUCUGCGUUCUGAACCAAACAGUGCAAACUUGUUUCUAGUCAUCAUAAGUCCAUUUUUCGUGAGCUUUGGCCCACUCAUAUCUCUUUUUCUUGUUCUGCGGAUGAAGUAGGGUUUUUUUGCAGAUACACAACUCUUCAGACCAGCCUUUCUCAAACGUCAUUUCACGGUUGUCAGAGAUAUGGGUUUCGACCUUGUCAUGUUAAUUUCCUCCCUUAUUUGUGGUGCUGUCUUUUGCCGAUCUCUCUUACUGGUGACAAUGCUAUGUUUAUCCUCUGCUUUUGUAGUAACUCUCUUUCGUUCAGGUCUUUUUCUAUCAUCAUACCUUCCAGGUUCCUCUAGUCUCUUUAGAGUGUAGUGGACUCCUUUGUUAAACACCUUUAGGCAUUUUGCAAUUUCUCUUUCUGUGUAUCCUUCUUUCCUCAAUGUACAAAUCAGUACUUUUGUGUCUUUACUCAGUUGCUUCUUUCUAGCCAUUUUUGCCGUAGUUUGAAUGCAGUUGAGAUUUAUUAGGAUUUUUGUAUGCAGACUCUAAAAAAUCAAAAAGUUGAAGUGAAUAAUCCAACUGUGAUUUGUUUUUCUGCUUUUGCACUUAAGUUGUGACUCUUGCAAAUGUUUUCAAACCUUAAACUAAGCCCUUAUUAUCUUUUGGUGACAUAUAUUUAGCAAUGGUCUGUUAACAUCAAUGUAUAUGUAGCCCUCUCUCUGUAUCUCGCGCGCGCCUGCCGGCUCUCCAACACCUCCACAGCUAGGCUACUCUGCGUUGUGUCUGCUUAUGUGUGAAAUGGACCUCUGGCGGGGGGUGCAGCGGCAGCCGGUAAGGAGAUGCACACGGACACAGGUGGGUUCGGGAUCGUGGCAAUACCGUUGGUUUAUUCACAACACAGGGGUCUACAAGGUUGAUAUCAGAACUCUCAGUAAACUUCAAAUAGAAAAGUGUAUUACAAUGCUACAUCUCAUUCGAGUUAGCGCUAUUACACUCGUAUUCCAAACGUAGAUUUUACCAAAAAUAUAAAGUAGUUAGCUCAACAAACUACACAGCUAUCAAGUGCUUAAUGUUUCAGUCAUCAAAAUAGCUCAUCAAAACAAACUUAUAACAGCUUAUAUGCUUAAUAUUUCGUACUUUAUCUUCCCAUGAAACUAACGUGACUUACCUACAAGGUUGAUAUCAGAACUCUAAAGGAAAUGCUCAUUACACCCGCGAUAUCAACCCCUACGGUGUGUCAGAGGGACAAAAGGCAAUUCUCAAUGGUAAACUCUUGUUUUAAUGUGCAGCGACACCUAGUGGCGCAACUCAGCAUCUACCUUACACCCACCCCUUCUUUAAGAGAUGGCGUCCCCGCCAUCAGACUCAUUCAAAAGAGACUCAUGAGGUAACUCAAAGAACUUCAAAAAUAAACAAAUAUGUGACAAGUGUGUGUGUGUGUGUAUAAAGUGUGUAGAAAAUGUGUGUGUGGGGGAGCUGACUCAUCUAGGUGUGUGCACUACGUGGCCCUAAAUGUGUCCAGCUGCUCUUCUUGCUUUGGCCCUUUGCCACAACUUUCUUCCUCUCUCUAUCUUCUGCUGGUCACUUUCCACUUCCAUGGCCCGGCACUCUAAAGACAGUUUCAGGGGAGGACGUCGACUCCUUCUCGGCCUUCUCCUUGGAGUGUCAACGCCUCGAGAGGAAGAGGCACCACCACUGGUCACCAGCAUAUCCCCUUGUGUCUCUGUGUCGGUCAGUUCGGUGCUGGGGUGCUCUUCUCCCCCAACUGCUCCAGUCAAAGCUCCAUCUUUCACUUCCUCCAUACUGUCAUCUUCACCCAGAUCAACACCAGUCUCACACGGUUCAUUAUCCAGCUGGCUCUCCUCCAAGACUAGGUUACUUCGAUCCACAGGCAGGAACAUGCACUGGGUAAGGAGGUUUCUGUGCAGCACCCUCUCCGGUCCUCCAUUCUCCGGUCUCACCACAUAAACAGGUACGUUGGGCUGCUUCUUGACAAUGACAUAUGGGCGUGACUCCCAACGGUCUCCCAGUUUCUGUCUCCCCUCCACAUGGCAAACUUUGACUAAGACUCGGUCCCCAGCAGCAAAAUCUUCACUUCUGGCUUUCAGAUCAUAGUACUUUUUCUGCUGCUCUUUAGCAUGCUGAGAUGUUUGGUUAGCCAGGGUAUAAGCCUCCAUCAAAGAAUCAUGCAGAGUCUGGACAUACUCGUGGUAUCCACAGGGCUGAUUUGCGGUGGGGGACCCGAAAAUCAGGUCAAUCGGGAGCCGUGGGUACCUACCAAACAUCAGGUAGUACGGGCUAUACCCGGUGGAGUCGUGUUGUGAGCAGUUAUAUGCAUGUGUCAUGGCAUCCAAGUGUUCGUGCCACCGAGGCUUCAAGUGCGGCUUUAGUGUCCCCAGCAUAUUCAUCAGGGUACGGUUGAACCUCUCGGUGGUCCCAUUCCCCUGAGGAUGGUAGGGCGAUGUGUGUGUUUUAGUAAUGCCGGUACACUUGCACAGCUCUUUCACAAUAGCACUUUCGAAGUUGCGCCCCCUAUCCGAAUGCAGCUUUGCAGGGAAGCCGAAACGACUGAAGUAGUUCCUCCACAAUACUCUUGCCACUGUGCCCGCCUUUUGGUCCCUGGUGGGGUAGGCCUGCGCGUAACGGGAGAAGUGGUCAGUGACAACGAGCACAUUUUCAAUGCCACCUUUGGACUUCUCAAGCGUCAAAUAGUCCAUGCAGACUAACUCCAUGGGGGCACUGGUGUGUAUACUGACUAGGGGAGCUCUGACGUUAGCUGUGGGAGUCUUUCUCAGGCAACAUCGCUCACACUGCUCACACCAGGCUUUAAUCUCUUGAAACAUUCUUGGCCAAUAAAAUCUCUCACGUAUCAUCUGCAAUGUUCUCUCAAAUCCUAAAUGUCCGGAAUCAUCAUGAAGAGCAGUUUUAACAGCUACACGCAGCCUCUGUGGCAGUAUUAGCUGCUCCAACUCUCCUCUAUGGCAGUCACGGACCCGCCGGUAAAUGACACCAUUCUUCACCACUAAUCUCCUCCACUCUUUUAAGAGAAGGCCCCCACUUGCACCCACUUCCACCCUCUCGGUGCGGCUUGGUUUCCGGUUGCGGGACUUGAAGUGCAGGACUGGACCAAUGUCCGGAUCUUCUCUUUGCGCUGCCCGAAUCUCCUGUGUUGUCAUAGCGGGCAGUGCCUCCAUUCCCACGUCUCCAUAGGGUUGACUCGGCUCCAGCAGCUGGCCACUCUCUGGCGCCUCCAUAGAAGCAGCAGUUUCCCCGGAGGACUCCUCCACUUCCUGGGUGCCACGUGUCUCAUUCUGCCCCUGUACAUCAGCUACCACUUGCUGGGGGCAAGUCUGCAGGACUUCACUGACCUCUUGGUUGGACAUGCGUGAAAGGGCGUCGGCGUUAGAGUUGUCUUGGCCCCUCCUAUACUGGAUAUCAAAAUCAAAGAUUGACAGGUGAGAAACCCACCGCUGGCCAGUGGCGUCGAGUUUGGCAGUGCUCAUUACGUACUUCAGAGGGUUGUUGUCCGUUAGCACAGAGAACUUGCGUCCAUAAAGGUGGUCAUGGAAUUUGUCUGUGACCGCCCACUUAAGAGCGAGGAAUUCGAGCUUGUGCGCAGGAUAUCUCGUCUCAGGUGGGGUCAAGCCUCUGCUAGCGUAAGCGACAACUCUCUCUGCUCCACCCUGGAUCUGUGCAAGCACAGCCCCAAGCCCAUCUCUCGACGCGUCAGUCUGCAGCAGGAAGGGCAGGCUGUAAUCUGGAUAGCCCAGGACCGGUGCAUUGGUCAGCUUCUCUUUCAACGCCAGGAAUGCCUCCUCACACUCAGAAGUCCACAGAAAGGUCGGAUCGGGGGCUGGAUUCUUCUGGGCCCCUCUCUUCUUGCUUCUAGGGUCUCCCGAGGUGAGGCGGUACAAGGGUGCAGCUAGACUGGAGUAUGACUUGACGUAGCGUCUAUAGUAGCCAGCAAACCCAAGGAAUUGAAGCACUUCCCUGCGGUCUGUAGGCCUCGGCCAGUCUUUGACACGGCUGAUCUUCUCCGGGUCCGUCCUGAUGCCGUCUGCCGACACCAGAUGACCCAGGUAGUUCACUUCCUUCCUCACGAACUGGCACUUUGACGGCUUAAGCUUCAAGCCAUGCUCUCUAAGCCGAUUGAAGACACACUGCAGUCGGUCUAGGUGUUCACUGAAGGUCGAAGAAAAAAUAAUUAUGUCGUCCAAAUAAAUAAGUAGAUGCGUAAAGUUCAAGUCACCGAAGCAACAGGUCAUUAACCUCUGGAAUGUGGAGGGGGCGUUUUGAAGCCCAAAUGGCAUUCUGUUGGCCUCGAAAAGCCCCAUGGGAGUGCUAAAGGCUGUCUUGUGCUUGUCGUGUUCCGCUACCUCCACUUGCCAAUAACCGGAGGUCAGGUCGAGCGUGGAGAAGUAUUUAGCUUGUCCUAACGACUCUAAGGCCUCCUCAAUUCUUGGUAGAGGAAACGCAUCUCGGGUGCUGCAGGAGUUAAGCUUUCUGUAGUCAAUACAGAGUCUUAAUGACCCAUCUUUCUUGGUCACGACGACCACUGGUGAGGCAUAAGGGCUUUUACUUGGACGGAUGACCCCGGUUGCCUCCAUCUCAGUUAACAUGCGCCGCACGUCUUGCCAUUGGGAUGGGGGUAUCUUACGGUAGGGUAAUCGGAAAGGCCUUGAGUCUACCAGUGGGAUCUCGUGCUGUAUGGUUGUGGUGUGGCCAUAGUCCAGGGAGUGCUGCGAGAACACAUCCGCAUUCUUGUUUAGCAGUGUUUCCAGACUGGUGCGUUGAUCUUCGGUCUCCACUGCCGCGUCACUUAGGUCCACACCACAGCUCGCCACCACUUGUCCCAGGCUGAGGCAUGCCUCCUUGUUCCCAGGCCCCCCCCUCGUUCUCAGGAAACUCCAGAACGCGGUGUAUCAGGACGGCACUGGCCAGGGUUGUGUGGGGCUUAAUAGUUAUGACACGCUGGGACAGGUUCAUCACUCUAACUGGAGCACAUCCUCCCUUUACAUCAACAAGAACUUUGGCAACCAGGAGGUCUUGGGGAAGACGCACCGAGGCCUGGCUCUCAAUCAGGGCAGUGUAGAUCUUUCUCCGAGGACCAUCUUUAAUCUUGCAUCUCAAAUCCAUCUCUUUACCCGCAGGAAUGCGUACUUUACGGCCGGUGUACACAGCAGGACCUACCACAUCAUGCAUUUCACUUUGCUCGGCGCUCCCCACCUUCAGCAGUGCUGUUUACCACUCUGGAUGCUUCUCUUUCACCAGAUGGAGGAACUGCUGGCCAUAUGACGCUUGGAGGUGGCUGCGGGAGGCUCUGAUGACAUUUGUGCCCACUAGAAGGGGGACUGAAGAACGGUAGUCGGAGUCAGGAACUACGAAGGUAGGCACAGCUUUAUGCUCUUUUCCAAGAACUUUCAAGUCAAUAUUCACCACACCGUGGUAGGGCACAGUUUGGCCAGCUGCGCCCUCUAUGGGUACUUUGGAGGGCUUUAGCUUCAGUCUCUGCAAGACAGGGUGGCUCUGCCAGUAGCUGUGUGUGAUGCUGGUUAUCUGGGAGCCAGAGUCAAUGAGAGCCCUACACUGCAUGCCGUUGACUUCAACUUCUCCUUCGUUCCUGGGCCCGACUAGAGGUGUCUCCUCUUUUCCAGUGCUAAUGUCUCUUGUGGGUGGAUGGGGGCCUCGCUGUAUGCCCAUGGUUGCCCCAGCUACCAUGGGCCUUAAGCGUUUAAAGGCUGGUCUGAUUGGGGUGUGGGCCCCACGGCAGGGGCGUUUGGUUGGGGGGUUCCAGCAGGGGCAGGGGCUGGCAGCACUGCUCUACAAAUUCGGGCGGUGUGGCCGAGCUUACCACACCGAUAACAGAUGAAGCUUGUGCUUGGGGCCGCCCUAGCCCGUGGGGGCUGAACUGCUUGGAUGGGGGUAGGGGGUGGUGAAGCUAUUCUCCGCUCAAGGUGGGACAACUUGGCCAUUUGUUCUUCUUGCUUAAGAGCUAGCCUCUUUACAAUCUCAGUCAACUCUGAUAAUUCAGAAGUGGGGUUUACCUUUUCAGGUUUCACAUUUCUAUCUCCCUCUGGUGUAACAUGUACUUGGGUAACAGUCUUUUUCCCUUUGUUUUGAGACUGGAACUUUUUGUUUUCUCUUGCCAGGUUACGGAGCUCAUUCUGCAGCUCUCGAAAACUCAGCAGUCUAGGUGUCAUGGGUGCUAUUCUCAUAUACACCUCUUCAUCGGUGAGCCCUCUCAUGAACUGGCGGGUGAGUUUGCUGUCACGGUCGGGGAAAGGCUUGCCUCCCCUCUGCUUCUCUUCAACAGCACGCAGUUUCGACUCCAGCGCUAUAGCAUAAGAGCAGACGGACUCACCCGGGUUUUGGCUCCGCUCAUAGAAGUCAGCUAAUGGGUCUAAAGACCCUCGUGCGUCGCCAUACUCUGCUCUCAGUUCCUCGAAUGCUUUCUCUGGGCUCUGGUUAUGGAUGGGUAUGUUUAGAAUUAACUUCCGGGCUUCACCGCCAAGGUGCCUCACCACCGUGGAAAAACGCAGGUGCGUGGGGAGUUCAAUCGCUUCCAGGAGAUAUUGCAUGUCACGCACCCAGUCCUCCACUAAAAUCUUGCAGUCUGGAUUACCCGUGAAGACUGGAACAUUUUUCACUUGAUGCGUUUGCAUGAAACCACCAUAGGCUGACACUGGGGGGCUUGCACUGGCUCUAGUUUGAACAGGGGUCUGUGAAUGUGGCGCUUGUGGGUAACUGUACAGGCUAGGCAAUGUUGCAGGAUUGGGGUGAAUAUCAGCAGCAGUAUGCUCAGACAUUACAGGGGGGCUAUAGGGGGUGGUGUUGGGGGCAUACCCAUGAGCAGGGGGUAGGGGCACUGAAUCACUAUGGCUGGAACCCAGAACAGUACUAGAUGUUUCACAGAAAUGCACUUGAGGGGUCCGCCCCAUAGCAGCAGGCUGGUUAGCUGUGCUUGCUGCUAACGGUAUUUGGAAACGUGGCCCAGGCAUUUGGGUUGCAGGGGUGGAGUGUGCAUAGCCUAGGUAUACUGGGGGGCUGGGUCUAACAGACUGGAAAGCAUAGGGGGUGGCUCUGGGGUAGGGCAUGGGGAGCCGGUGAACCGCUGGCCUCUGAGCGCUAACACUGUGUGGGGUGCUUUGUGGAGGCAGGGAGGCUGUGGGUCCAUGCUCGCUGGGGGUGUGAACAGAGGCAUUCGCCGGUGUCUCCGUCGGGCUGCUUGGGUUGGUGACAGGACUGAUGUCAAGGCAGAGCGGGGGUAUCUGUCCUGAAGCCCCGGAGCCCGGCUGUCUGGAUGGACGGACUGGCGUGAUGUACUGAGCCACAUAAGCUGAAUACAUGGAGGAUGGGAAAGCGUGUCGUUGCAAAGGGGGCAUUGAACCACUUGCUUCAGGCCCAGCUGGAGGUAAGAGGCUGGGCGUCACAGUGGAGGGACUUUGCAGCUCAAGUGCUGAAUCAGUGUAAUUCUGUGUCAUCUUGCUAUAUGUUUUAUGUGAAAUGCAAAAUAAAUGUUGCCGUAACAACGCAAUGUGUGUGUCUGAAAUAUGCAAUUACUGUGUGCAAAUAAAGUAUUUCAAUACUGUCUGUGUGUAAUGCAGUGUAAUAUGUCUUUCAGUAUUACCAGAGUAACCAAAAAAUAUCAGCUAUGUCUAAAAACUUAACUUAAUAGGCCAUUAAACUUAAUUACUUAGUCAGUUCACUUAAAUGUUCAACUCAACAAUGUCACUAAAUAUCAGUUAGCUGAAUACACAAGCUUAAAUGAGUCUUGAAACAAACAGAAAAAUAUCCUCGAAUAUCAAAUAGCUUUAAAUAGCUUCAGUUUACCAUUAAUUUCCACUCAAAAUUCAGUUUACCCAUUAGAAAAAUAUUCAAAAUGCAAUAGCAGUAGUAAUUCGUAUUCACAACAGUCUCUAAAGGAUAUAGCUGGGACGGUAACGUUGCUUCAGAACCAUGAAAAAAAAAAAAAGUUGCAAAUGUCCGUCAGCUCCAGGAAAAGUUCACGGUUCAAUGUUCAAUACAAGCCUGGUUGUAGAAUUCCCUCUUCGGUAAGGCAACACCACGAUCCGGGUCACGGCACCAAAGUUGUAGCCCUCUCUCUGUAUCUCGCGCGCGCCUGCCGGCUCUCCAACACCUCCACAGCUAGGCUACUCUGCGUUGUGUCUGCUUAUGUGUGAAAUGGACCUCUGGCGGGGGGUGCAGCGGCAGCCGGUAAGGAGAUGCACACGGACACAGGUGGGUUCGGGAUCGUGGCAAUACCGUUGGUUUAUUCACAACACAGGGGUCUACAAGGUUGAUAUCAGAACUCUCAGUAAACUUCAAAUAGAAAAGUGUAUUACAAUGCUACAUCUCAUUCGAGUUAGCGCUAUUACACUCGUAUUCCAAACGUAGAUUUUACCAAAAAUAUAAAGUAGUUAGCUCAACAAACUACACAGCUAUCAAGUGCUUAAUGUUUCAGUCAUCAAAAUAGCUCAUCAAAACAAACUUAUAACAGCUUAUAUGCUUAAUAUUUCGUACUUUAUCUUCCCAUGAAACUAACGUGACUUACCUACAAGGUUGAUAUCAGAACUCUAAAGGAAAUGCUCAUUACACCCGCGAUAUCAACCCCUACGGUGUGUCAGAGGGACAAAAGGCAAUUCUCAAUGGUAAACUCUUGUUUUAAUGUGCAGCGACACCUAGUGGCGCAACUCAGCAUCUACCUUACAUAUAUCUAAAGGUAAAUGGAGUAAAAUCGUGCCUUUCCAUGAAAGUAACAUCUGAUCACGGAGUAAAUACAUCCCAAAAUACAUAAAACUCAUGCUGGAUUAAAAAAAAAAGCAUUGUGAACAAAAACUUGAAGUUACUCCCAAAUGUUUGGCCUGUAAUGGCCUUGCUUCCAAACUUUUGGCCUGUAGUGUACAUAUAAUGUUGUACAACUCCAUUUUAAAAGAUGUUGGGGAAAUUAUCAAAUGUUGGGAAAGACAGACUUUGCAAAUUGUUAAAUCCCUGUAAUUAAUGAAAUAUUUUCAAAGACAACAAAUCAAAUGUUAGAAAAUGUUUUAAUACUAUGAAAAAUACUCUCUCAUUUAAUUAAGACACCGACAAAACAUCUCAGCUGGGACAGAGACAACAGGGGAACACUGAAGAACUUCUGCAAUAAUGGAAAAUCAGCUCCAAAACAACAGCAGUGGCAACAGGUCAAUAGCGGUGUUAGGGCGCUGAACCACCACUCCCAACAAGGAGAAAGGCAGACUAAAGCUGUAUAAUUUUUUUUUUAAUAAGUCAGAUUUUUUUUAAAAGUGUUUUAUAUUUUUUCACCAACUCAGAAAUAAUCUACAAUAAAAAUGUAGAGUUUGUCUAAAUGUACUGAUCUAUGACUUGUUUGUGGUCCACAGCACAACCUCAGACCCCUGUUAUAAAGUUAUACAUGCGCACUCUCUCCUCUCAAUACAAGCAAUAGGAGCUGCUGAACUGGAACAGCGUGAUUGAUCAGCUGUUGCAAGACCAAGUAUUAAUACUUGUAGUAAUACUGUUCCAAGUAUUUUGGUCAAAUACUGGCCAGCUACAGCCGAUUAAGCCAAAAGGCAGUAUUUUACUGUUGUUAAAACUCUGUGGACUCAGUAGCUUCUGGAAAAUAAGUCAGUGAAUAAUAAAAUAAAUAGUUCAUCACAUUUGGACUCUGGUUCCUUUUCUUUAAACCAGAAUUUUAACAUCAACAGCAGAGCUGCAGAUAUUAACGUGGAUUGAAGAUGUUGGCCAAUCAACAAAACACCAGACCGGGAGCAGGAAUGUUAUCUAGAUUUGAGAGGAGGUUCUAGCAGACUGACAGUUAAACAGGGGGAAAGAUGAGACUUUUAAAAAAACAUUUGAAAAGUACAUUCAACUUUCUAAAUGCAAUAAAGUGCCCUCAGUUUACAUGAUUUAGGAAUAAAUAUUGUUGUGCCUUGUAUAGAAUAUGUCUCUUUCAGUUUUAGCUAAAGGCCCUGAUGGUAUGGGGAUCAUCAGAGUCCAUGUCAUGGGUAUCUUUCACAUCUGUGAACUUGUGAAGGCUUCUACAAUAUCUGCAGGUUUAGGAGCAACAUCUGCUGCCAAAGUGUUAGUAAAAGAAGAGCUGUGGGCACACAAUGAAAAAAAUGACCCUGUAACAACUUCUUGAUAUGUUCCUAUUAUUAAACUUAAAUUGAGCACAUAUUAUUCAGCUUUAAAUGAGCAGGUUGUGCAUUAAAAACAUCUGGUUCAUGUCUUUCUAAAAUAAACAAACAAACAAAAAAACUCACCAUCACAAACUCUGAACUCUAAGUCAGUGGAAGAGUCUGUAACAGAAGAGCUGCCCAAACCACAUCUGUACAGGCCUUCAUCAGACUUUACCCCAUUGAUGAUGUUCACAUUCAGGAUUCCCUCUGUGGAGGAGGUAGGGUCACUUCUGUAACUCAUGCUGUACCUGCCCACCUGACUCUGGACCUCUUCUGUUCUGAUGAGAAUAUCGUCUGCCUCACAUUGGUUCUUACAGAAGAACUUCCAGCUCCCGGAUGAUUGUGUGUAGCAAUUAAUUGAGAUGUUUUGUCCUUUAGUGAAAGUAAAAAUGUAAACUUUUGCGCUGACAAGCCUGUUGUUUCCUCCACCCAGAGCUGUGGAAAAGAUCAAGACCUGAUGAGGAUCUUAUGUUAAAGAAAUGGUAUAAACAGUAAAAGACAGAGGCGACAUACUUUAUAAACAGUGAGAGUAAUUAUCAUGAAAACAAUUAUUAUUACCAGGAAAGGACAACUGAACACUGAGUGAGGCAAAGUCAGCAGGAGGCAUGAACGAAUUGGCUUAAUUUGCUGCUAAUAAACAGGAACAAGAGCAGCACAGAUCACUCUGAAAGCAGUCAAAGUUAGGGGAGGAUCUGUUAGGAUUCAGUUAGCCUUUAUGAAAAGCUGCAGAAUUAAUAUGAGGUUUAAACCAGGAGCCUGAAACAUACCCAAAUUACCCUGUCUUUAUAAGAUAAUUCAUUUAGUUAUAGUAAUGUCAGAGAUCGAAGGCUGCAUAAGAAAAGAUAUGUGUGCAGUCAAAAAAUACCAUGGGUGGUUGGUCCAUGAGCAAAGUCUGAGUUUAGAGCAGUUCAGUUUGAUUUGAUGUGUGCAAACAAAGUUGUUAAAAAUGAUGUCAGAGCAGAAGUAAAAAUAACCUGCUAAAUACUGACCCUGCAAAACAGAGAGAAAAGAACCAAAUAGAUAAAAUUUCUCUCAACUCUAUCAACUUCAACUUCUUCAAAAUUUCUGUCAACUUCACCUACUCUGGAUCUUAAAACAGACUGCAGGCUUAAGAGGCUUCAGAUUCUUGACAUGGCAGAGAUACAGAGGCAGUGAGUAAGUUUUAAAAAGCAGUGUGAGAUACUCAGGUGAUUGGACCUCACCUGAUAAGAAGCAGAAGAUCAGAAGAUGGUGAAUGUCCAUUCUGAGGUUGUCUUAGUGAAGACUGAUCAUAGAACUGCAGGAGGACAGACUGAGUCUCCUCACUCCUCUCUGGCUGAUGACUAGAUAAGUUUUCGUUCCUCAAAUGAUGCUUUCUGUCGGUGUCUGUCUGAUUUGGUGUGCUGAGGAUUAUAACAUACAGUCAUGUCACAUGAGCCUGUAUGUACAUCAGUUUAUGCCAAAAUCACAGAACCAGAAGCAUCUGUAGAAAAUCCAAAGUUUUAAAUCAAACACAGACUUUGCUCUGACCUUUUCAUACAUAACCAUCUAUGUUAACAUUCAGGAUAAGAUCUACCUAACUGGGAUUCUUGUUAACAGCGUUUGGGCUCAUAUCAUGUAAUCGUCUGAAAAUCUGUGGGUUGGGUGACAACCGGGCUGAUAAUUAGGGCCAAGCCGAUGCUUCAAGCAAUGGGUAAGAGCCCUAUUGAAAUUGCAGGAAUUAUGUUAUUAUUAUUACUAAAGGUUUUUCAACUUUAAAACCUCUAGAAAUGUGUAAAAACAAAUAGAAUUUGGCAGGCAGGUUUGGCCUGUCUAAGAUUCAAGUAUUUUACUGCUUCCCUAUACAUUUUUAAUUAAUGGGAUGCAGCUGAGAUUUGUUCAGGACACACCUGAUGGAAUACCAGAGCGACAAAAAAAUCAGCGCCUUGUUUUGUCUAUCUGUGCCUAGGCGGCGCAAUGAAGUGUCUCAAUAUAAAAAAAUAAAAUAAAAUAAAAUGAAAAAAUCUGUAAUAUUGCUAUAGAUAUGUGCAUGGAAUUUGGUACACAGAUCUUGAGGGCUCCAAUGUCAGAAUAGAGAUCCAACCAAAAAAGCUCCAUAGCACGUGAUCGACUUGUCAGGGCUCCCCACAAACAAGCAGCUGCUGGGGGAGAGUGGGUGAGUAAAGAAACCAGGGGAAGCUAAAAAGAUGUUUGAUGGCUAGUGCUAUGGUUGGGACCCUAUAUGUACUGUUGAUGAAGUUAGGUGCUGUUCUGAACAUUAUUUGUGGCUAUAGAGUGGUGCUUUGGUUGAGGUUUGCAUGUGGAGACGUAGACUGCUGUGUAUUACUGUCUUGCAGUCGUUGCUGAAGUUGGUAUAACUAGAGAAGCAAGCAGUCGGCAACAUUCAUCUCUCGAGGGGGUGUCUAACUCAGUGACACAGUGUGUUUGACCCUAACUUAACUUUAUGUCUGAAUAUCCCUUUAAUGGUGAACUGAUGCAUCUUUAACAUACUGUGCAACAGCAGUACAAACUAUCAGACAGCUAACAGGAGAAGAGAGGAGAGCAGGGAGAGGAGAAGGAAGAUGAGCAUGAUUUAAAAGAGGUUUUUAGCUUUCUGAAAUGCUCUGAGGCUAAUGUUAGAUUAUGGUCAAACAUUUAUAAUAACCCUGUUACCAAUAUCAGCCAAAAUUAUAACUUUCCCCCAAGUGCUAAGAUCUGGUAUUCCUUCUGGGGUCAGUGAGGUCAGUCAGAGCAAAAGUGGGAAACAGACUGAGUUUCACUUCCUCUAGCAAUGUACGGAAAAUGAAAAUCUAAAAGAAGACAGUCAUCAAAAACCUGACAUGUGGUGGUGUUCAGAUGAGCUAAAACUGGACCUGCUGUUUCAGAUUCAUGUGUUCAAAAACCUGGAAGAGAAGACGAUUGUCAGAAUGUGCACAUCAGGAUGGAAGACGGACCAUGGCGUAGCAAUUAUAUGUUUUAUUCGGGCACCCCUUUAUCACUUCUCCACAGGUGACAUGAAUUACCCACUCAAGACAGACCUGUAAUCACUUCCCCAGUGGCAAGUCCUCUGUUCUUCCACGAAUCAACCCCCCCUUAGCUUACUAUGACAAUAAAAUCUACUGAUCAAAAUGAAAUGAUGAAUAAAUGUUAUUAACAGGAAAAGAAUUAGGAUGACUAAUAAAUUAACCGGCCAAUCCAAAUAGUUACAGUAUUAAAUCCAGAAUCCCCAACUCAAUUUCCCCCACUCAACUCAAACAUACAACACAACUAAAUAUCUUAGGUUAUUAUCAAGUAAUUUCCAGUGUAAAUAUAAAUGUGUGUGUGUGUGUGUGUGUGUGUGUGUGUGUGUGUGUGUGUGUGUGUGUGUGUGUGUGUGUGUGUGUGUGUGUGUGAGAGUUAAACAGACAGGGCAGCUGGGCUUCCCUUCACAACGAUCUCUUUAAUCAGCGUAUAUUUAUAAGUCAGUGUGUAACCAUACUUUUUGAUUUCUCGUGUGAUCUAUGAUUCUGAUCCACUAUUGUCUCCAACACUAAUGCUAAUAAAAGUGGAUUACUGGCAGUUUAAACCGAAGUAACCCUAUCUUCCUGCUUACUAAAUUUCCAGCUAAAUAAGGGUGGUUCCCACUUAUGCGCUCACAUUUUUUUUAGUUUUUUUACUUUCUCUUUCAUCUGCUUUAUGCUGAAUGGUACAGACUAUGAUGUGAAGUAUAUAGAGGAAGUAGCCUGCCAAUGGUCACACAUACAGAGAGCCUCUUGAAAAAGUUUAUAGUUUAUAUGAAAAACAUCAACAUGACCUGGAUCAAUGAGAACCUACACAGACAUAAAACCACAUUUUUAUCAACCUCUCAAUACAUUUAAGACAAAGCCGUGAUAUAUAACCUGCAAAAUCACACAGCAAAUUCAGUAACAAUACCAAUGUGUGCAAUUCUCCUCCAACAUAAUUAGAUUGCGUAAUAGAUAUGUUGAUUUUUUUUUUUACAUUCCUGCAACAAUGAAAGAAGAUGCAUGACCAUAAAUACAAAGACAACCUGUUGCAACACAGUCCAAACAGUUAAAUUUAACAUGGACUGCAAACAGCAAGAAAAAAAAGAUGCUUCUUAAAAAUAAUGAUAUUGUACACCUGCAGGAAGAGAAAGUCAAACACAGAGUUCUUGAUUAUAAGCAUGAGAGUUUUGAUAUUAAGGCACAGAGUUAGCAGGGAUUGUAAAUGUGGUUAAAUUACAGAAUGUAAAACACAAACAGCUGAACAAAAAGGAAAAAAGAAAAUGAGGGAACAGUAGAUUCAGACUGCUGGGGUUACAGCAGAGCUGAUUGUUAAUUUUUCAUCUGCAGUCUGACAAAAAUAAUCAAACAGAGCAGACAGACCGGGAACUGCAGAAUAGAGCAAUGCAAAAGCCAGUCUGAACUAACUGUGUUAUUAAAAACAGAGGACAGCUCAGUUUAGCAUGCACUAACUAGCAGACAGAGGGGCUUUAUUCAAACUGCUGGCUAAGAAGACUUCAUAUAUACUCAGUCUUUUCAAAAGUCUACAAAUCAACAGCACAGUGACAUCCAAAGUAUCAGACUUAAAGCUUCUGAGCAUCAGAGGACAAAGUGAAAGGUGUUUUUAAGGUGGAUACAUUCAGUUUUACAGUCAGGUAUUAGUGCACAACUUACUGCAAGUUAAACUUUACUGGAAAUAUUGCAAAUAUCCACUCAUUUUGAGUUUGAUGCUUCAACACACUCAUAAAAAGUUGGUUCAGGAUCAACGAAUGUUUAAAAGAAAUUCAGGACUGCUCCGAAAAAACAGAAUAGGUUCAGUGGAAACAGGUGAGGGUCAUGAUGUUGACUGCAGUACUGGUUUCAACCACACAGUUUAACUUGAUAACCAACAAUAAACUCGAGAAGGGCGCUUUGUUAUUAAGUUUAAGAAAGUCAGUGUAACUCUGACAACAGCUGAAGCACACAAGUAAACCCUUCAGAGGAAUUGACUGAUUUCCCUGCUACAAAGCAGAGGUUUGUUUUUUUUAAACAAAUGUGUUUAUUGACGUUUCAAGCUUUACAUAUUCAAACAUACUUACAGAAUUCUUCUUAUUACAAGCUGUAAAUUCUUUUGUUACAUAUCUGAGUAACAUUAACAAAAGGAGAAACAGCAUGAACAGAGAACUCAUCCGCAAGGUGGUUCCAUGUUCUUAUGACGGUGUCAGAGGUCUACAAGUUAAAAUUAAUGAGUGGAUAAAUAAUUAUAAUAUUGAUAGUUAUGUACAAAAAGCACACCCUUUUACUUUAGAGGGUCUAGGCUUGCAGAUGCUGAAUCACCUGGAUGUCCUGUAUGUUAGUCCAAAGUAAGAAAUUAGUGGAUUCCAUUUCUUCUUGAAUAAGGCUAUGUCGAGGUUGCACUUUGCUGUUAUUUUUUCCAUUGUGUAUAUCUUGGUAAGUCACUCUUUCCAUUGGUCUACGGUUGGGGGUAAUGGCUUACACCAGGGCGUAGUUAUCAUGUUUUUUGCCACUAUUAUGAGGAUUUUGAGGAGGUACAUUCUUUCUCUACAUAAAAAGUCAUAGGGAAACUCCCAAAGAAGAUCAGCGGGUCAUUCUUUAUGUUAAUUUGUAAGAUGUUAUAAAGUUCUGCCUGUACAUUUUCAGUUUGGGACAAAAACUGAUCAGGAGAGGCGUUGGGAAUAACUUUCCACACCAAAGUUAUGGCCUUUUACGGCCCCUGGACAGAACCGAGAGGCGCUCUCCCAAAAGGCUGAUAGUGAAUCUUUUACACUUCAAAGAGACAAAGUUGCUGAUCAAAAACCGGACCCCCAGACCGAAUAAACAUUUACCUUCUCACCUUGGCUGGGAUAGCUCAUAGUUGACACCUCAGCCUUAAGGAUGACCCAAAGACCAUGGGAACUCAAACAUUAAGGGUGCAAUUGAGGCACCUAUCCCUGAAACAGAUCCCUGCCAUAAAUUCUCUGAGUGACUUGUUUUUCCUGUGACUCUCUUUCGGUGCAGAAUGAGGAGAAUAACUGCAAAUGGUUUAAUUUCAGGUUUAAUGGACAUUUCACCAGGAUUUUCUAUCUGUACACCACAUCAACAGUGAAACACUCUUUGUCUCAUUUGUCUCGCAUGUCUAGGGAAAUUCAAUUGUCUCUUGUCUCAAGUAAUAUGUCUAUAAAACUUAUCUAUUAUUUACAUAAGAGUUCUAAAGCCUGAUGACUCUUGGUACAAAAGAUCUUCUAAAUCUUUCUGUCCUGCAGUGAAAAGAGGGUCCGUCCACCACCACUGGCCCUUUGGUCCAUCAAGGUGUUGUAAAGUGGGUAAUCCAUGUUCCUUAGAAUAGUCUCCACCUUCCUCAGUGUAGAUCUCACCACCACAUCCUCCACUGAGUCCAGCUUGAGUCCAACCACAGAGGCAGCCUUUUUCACCAGUUUGUUAAGACGUCUUGCAUCUUUGUGUUUAAUGCUUCCUCCCCAGCAGACUGCAGUGUAGAACAGCACACUUGCCACCACAGACUGAUAAGGCAUCUGCAGCGUCUUACUACAGAUGUCUAUUGAUCGGAGUCUUCUCAGGCAAAAAAGGCGGCUCUGCCCCUUUCUGUAGAUGUAGUCUAUAUUCUUAGACCAAUCCAAUUUAUUAUCAGGAUGUACACCUAGGUAUUUAUACGAUGUCACCACUCCGAUGUCCACUCCACAGGUGUUCACUGGCUGAAGAGGGGUUUGGAUCUACGGAAGUCUAUGACCAUCUCCUUUGUCUUUGAGGUGUUGAAGAGGAGGCAGUUUUUGUGACUCCAGCCACUGAAGGCUCUUCAGAAUCAGAAUCGCCUUUAUUGUCAUUGUACACAGUACAACGAAAUUUGAGCGCCACUCCAUUUGGUGCAUAGCAAAAGUAAUAAAUAAGUACUAAAAUGAAAGCCAUAUUAAAACACAAGAUAAUGUAAUAAUAAAAGUAAAGAACAGUAAAACAGCAGUAAUGUAUAUAUAUGUACACUAUAAGAUAUAAACAAACAGGAAUGAAUGAUAUGAAUGAUAUCAAAUCCGAUAAUUGCACAAGUGAAGCCCAGUGUUAUUGCACGGAUAAAGAUACAUUUAUUGCACUUAGAUCAAUGUGAUCAGUAAUAUAUGUUGGUUGAGGGGGACAGGUUCAGCUGGACUUGUUGUUGACUGCAGUGAUAGCUCUUGGGAAGAAGCUAUCCCUGAGUCUGUUGGUCUUUGUUUUGUGUGACCUGUACCUUAGGCCCGACGGUAACAAGUCAACCAGGUGGUUUCCGGGGAGUAUGAGUCCUUAAUGAUGUUCCAGCUCUGCCCAGGUAGCGAGAGUUGGGAAUGUCCUCCAGGCUGGGCAAAGGGCAGCCUGUGAUCUUCUGGGCUGUGCAGAUGACCCUCUGUAGUGCUCUCCUGUUGGCUGCAGAGCACCCCGCAUACCAAGCUGUGAUGCAGUAUGCCAGGAUGCUCUCUAUGGUGCCUUUAUAUAUAUAUAUAUAUAUGUAUGUAUAUAUAUAUAUAUAUAUAUAUAUAUAUAUAUAUAUAUAUAUAUAUAUAUAUAUAUAUACACUACAGGCCAAAACUUUGAGAGCAAGGCCAUUACAGGCCGAACAGUUAGGAGUAACUUCAAGUUUUUGUUCACAAUGCUUUUUUUUUAAAUCCAGCAUGAGUUUUAUGUAUUUUGGGAUGUAUUUACUCCAUGAUCAGAUGUUGCUUUCAUGGAAAUGCACAAUUUUACUCCAUUUACCUUUAGAUAUACAUUGAUGUUAACAGACCAUUGCUAAAUAUAUGUCAGCAAAAGAUAAUAAGGGCUUUGUUUAAGGGUUGAAAACAUUUGCAAGAGUCACAACUUCAGUACAAAAGCAAAAAAACAAAUUACAGUUGGAUUAUUCACUUCAACUUUUUGGCUUUUAAGAGUCUGCAUACAAAAAUCCUGAGAAAUCUCAACUGUGUUCAAGCUACUGCAGAAAAUGGCUGGAAAGAAGCAACUGAGUAAAGAAACAAAAGUACUGAUUUGUACAUUGAGGAAAGAAGGAUACACAGAAAGAGAAAUUGCAAAUUGCCAGAAGGUGUCUAACAAAGGAGUCCACUACACUAAAGAGACUAGAGGAACCUGGAAGUUAUGAUGAUAGAAAAAGACCUGGACGAAAGAGAGUUACUACAAAAGCAGAGGAUAAAAAUAGCAUUGUCACCAGUUAGAGAGAUCGGCGAAAGACAGCACCAAAUAUAAGGGAGGAAAUCAACAUGACAAGGUCGAAACCCAUAUCUCUGACAACUGUGAAAUGACGUUUGAGAAAGGCUGGUCUGAAGGGUUGUGUAUCUGCAAAAAAACACUACUUCGUCCACAGAACAAGAAAAAGAGAUAUGAGUGGGCAAAAGCUCACAAAAAUUGGACUUAUGAUGACCAGAAACAAGUUUGCAC